UACGUAGGGUGCAAGCGUUAAUCGGAAUUACUGGGCGUAAAGCGUGCGCAGGCGGUUUUGUAAGUCUGUCGUGAAAUCCCCGGGCUCAACCUGGGAACUGCAUUUGUGACUGCACAGCUGGAGUGCGGCAGAGGGGGGAUGGAAUUCCGCGUGUAGCAGUGAAAUGCGUAGAUAUGCGGAGGAACACCGAUGGCGAAGGCAAUCCCCUGGGCCUGCACUGACGCUCAUGCACGAAAGCGUGGGGAGCAAACAGG
rnacentral:rRNA from 1 species